AUAUAAACAAUGACUUUUUUCUUGUUAGACGUCGUUGCUCGACUCUCAAAUCCGUACUGAAGUAAUCCAGCUUGUGCGUAGAGGUAAUUCCAAUUGACUGAUUACAUUCAGGAAUAUCGACCUUGCGUUUGUACAGGGGACACCUUUUCUAGCGAUCAACCUCUAUUACAACAUUUUAAACAUGAGGCGCUCAGGUUCGUACAAAAGACUGAUGACAGAAUUUGUAACUUUCAUAUGAUUUUUUAAAAAAACACUUUUACAAAAAGGAUAGAAAUGAAAAACAACGUUCAUUCACCAUAACCUGAAGUUGGCACUUUAAAGCUCCUACGGACAUUAAGACAUUGGCAUCUUCAAGCAAGUCACGAGAUCCGCUAGCAAUUGGUUUGAGGAAAUGACAUACUUGGCUAAGAUAAUAGUCGUUGUACUGAUUGAGUCUGCCGGCACUGGUACUUGAGUAGAACCACUGGUGUCUUCUAGUAGCUCUAUUUCCAAAUUUCAUAGAAUCAGGAUGUUGGAUGCUUCAUUAAAGUUGAAUAUACAUGUGAAGCGGGAGGUACUUCGCAUGCAUAUUAAGAAAUCAUAAGGUUCUUCCUUUUCCACGUCGUAUUCAUUUUUAAUUGUCGCAUGCAGGUUUUUUCUCAAUAUUUGAACCAUGCAUGCAGCAAAGUAAAACCAGCACAAAAAGAAGGCCAUUGUGUAAUACUUACGAGACUGCGCGAGGAUACCAGAUUGGAAGUCACCACUAGCAAAGUAAUCAAUCAUGUCAGAUUUGCCAGAUGCUCUCCGAGUGAAGGUGCUCUGAAUCCCACCAAGAUUCACGAAACGAAGACGAAGCUCAACAUAGACACGGUCUUCUUCCAGAUGCACUUACUUUCCGGAUGUAGGGAGUUCUCCUUCACUAUCAUAGGAUAGACUCCCUGUCCCUGUCUGAGAUGUUGGCAUCGAGCGCUUGGAAGAUUUUCCAUCUGUGGUUAGAGGGGCUACACGUGUGGCAAAGUCGAAAUGGGCUGUUUUAGAAGCAUUAACUUCCUGACUUUCAAAAGACAUGCAGGAGUAACAGUCGCAGAUACUAUUUCACACUCA